AUUUAAAUAGCUUAAAUUAGAGUAUAAUAUUGAAGAUAUUAGGGUGAUUUAUUAAUCUUUAAAUA
rnacentral:tRNA from 1 species